rnacentral:lncRNA from 1 species
AAUAAGCCGCUUCUCUCAUUUUUUUCUCUCGCCACGGAUGGCCGCUAACUUUGGCCAGUGAACUCCAAGACUGCCGCCACCAUUCCUAUUCUCUUCUUCCUCCUUGUCUCUCUCUCCCUACAGAUCCAAGCAUGCCGUUUCCACCUCAAAAUGGAUAGCAGCCGCCGACACUGUCACAUUUUCACCACCAACAAAACCUAUCCCUACCGAUGAAUAUGUCGCAUGC